ACAGGCGGCAUGCUACCAUGCAGUCGAACGAUGAACCUCCUUCGGGAGGGGAUUAGUGGCGAACGGGUGAGUAACACGUGGGCAAUCUGCCCUUCACUCUGGGACAAGCCCUGGAAACGGGGUCUAAUACCGGAUAACACUCCUCCUCGCAUGGGGAGGGGUUGAAAGCUCCGGCGGUGAAGGAUGAGCCCGCGGCCUAUCAGCUUGUUGGUGAGGUAGUGGCUCACCAAGGCGACGACGGGUAGCCGGCCUGAGAGGGCGACCGGCCACACUGGGACUGAGACACGGCCCAGACUCCUACGGGAGGCAGCAGUGGGGAAUAUUGCACAAUGGGCGAAAGCCUGAUGCAGCGACGCCGCGUGAGGGAUGACGGCCUUCGGGUUGUAAACCUCUUUCAGCAGGGAAGAAGCGAAAGUGACGGUACCUGCAGAAGAAGCGCCGGCUAACUACGUGCCAGCAGCCGCGGUAAUACGUAGGGCGCAAGCGUUGUCCGGAAUUAUUGGGCGUAAAGAGCUCGUAGGCGGCUUGUCACGUCGAUUGUGAAAGCUCGGGGCUUAACCCCGAGUCUGCAGUCGAUACGGGCUAGCUAGAGUGUGGUAGGGGAGAUCGGAAUUCCUGGUGUAGCGGUGAAAUGCGCAGAUAUCAGGAGGAACACCGGUGGCGAAGGCGGAUCUCUGGGCCAUUACUGACGCUGAGGAGCGAAAGCGUGGGGAGCGAACAGGAUUAGAUACCCUGGUAGUCCACGCCGUAAACGGUGGGAACUAGGUGUUGGCGACAUUCCACGUCGUCGGUGCCGCAGCUAACGCAUUAAGUUCCCCGCCUGGGGAGUACGGCCGCAAGGCUAAAACUCAAAGGAAUUGACGGGGGCCCGCACAAGCAGCGGAGCAUGUGGCUUAAUUCGACGCAACGCGAAGAACCUUACCAAGGCUUGACAUACACCGGAAACGCGACUCAGAGAUGGUCCCCCCCUUGUGGUCGGUGUACAGGUGGUGCAUGGCGUCUCAGCUAUCCU
rnacentral:rRNA from 1 species